GAUGAACGCUGGCGGCGUGCCUAAUACAUGCAAGUCGAGCGAAUGGAUUAAGAGCUUGCUCUUAUGAAGUUAGCGGCGGACGGGUGAGUAACACGUGGGUAACCUGCCCAUAAGACUGGGAUAACUCCGGGAAACCGGGGCUAAUACCGGAUAACAUUUUGAACCGCAUGGUUCGAAAUUGAAAGGCGGCUUCGGCUGUCACUUAUGGAUGGACCCGCGUCGCAUUAGCUAGUUGGUGAGGUAACGGCUCACCAAGGCAACGAUGCGUAGCCGACGUGAGAGGGGGAUCGGGCACACUGGGACUGAGACACGGCCCAGCCUCCUACGGGAGGCAGCAGUAGGGAAUCUUCCGCAAUGGACGAAAGUCUGACGGAGCAACGCCGCGUGAGUGAUGAAGGCUUUCGGGUCGUAAAACUCUGUUGUUAGGGAAGAACAAGUGCUAGUUGAAUAAGCUGGCACCUUGACGGUACCUAACCAGAAAGCCACGGCUAACUACGUGCCAGCCGCCGCAGUAA
rnacentral:rRNA from 1 species